GACACAUCUGCAGUUGGUGUGUAUCUCCUCCUCGUUCCAUGUUCGAUUGAAUGGAUUUUCCUCAAUUCCCACGUCUAAAGAUGCAUCGUCGUUCACCAACUCCUCUAAAAAGUCUCUCCUUCAACGCUUUCUCUAGAACUCGUUUCGUCAACCCUCAUCAUCCUUAUAGGAACAACUUAUUCAUUUCUUCCUACUUCACUUCUUUGCAACUUACCCCAUCUACAGCUCAAUCACAUUCGCCCAUUAAAAGGAAAAACGCUCCUAGCAAGUGGGAUAAAGAGAAGCUAAGACGCUAUUCGGAAAAACUGCGUGAUUGUGCGGCAAAUCGGUCUGUAAACGAGGGUAAAGCCAUCCAUAAGCAGAUUAUGGGAAGUGAUAUCGAGUUAGAUUCUCAUUUAUGGGUGUCGCUGAUUAAUUUUUAUGCCAAGUGUGGGUGUUUGAGUGUCGCCCGCCAGGUGUUAGCUGAUAUGCCCCAAAGAGAUGUGGUGUCUUGGACAGCUCUUAUGAGUGGUUUUGUAGGUGAGGGAUGCGGUAUAGAAGGCGUUGUGUUGUUUCGUGAGAUGCUUGAAGACGGCAUUAGACCCAAUGAGUUUACUUUAGCCACUGUUCUGAAAGCUUGUUGCGUGUGUUUGAAUGUUGAGUUUGGCUGGCAGUUACAUGGCCAGAUUGUUAAAUCUGGGUUCUUUUCGGAUGGGCAUGUUGGUUCUGCUCUCGUCGACCUUUAUGCUAAAUGCGGUGAGCUAGAAUAUGCAGAGAAGGUGUGCCAUAAUUUGCCUGCACAAAAUGCAGUCUCGUGGAAUUCGUUGCUUAAUGGGUUUGCUCUGGUGGGUGAUGAUCAAAAGGUUUUGCGGUUAUUUUGUAGAAUGAAAGAGGCUGAAAUGAAGUUUAACAAGUAUACAUUGUGCACUAUUCUCAAAGGGUGUGCCAGUUCUGGAAAUUUAAGAACAGGCCAGCUUGUGCAUGGAAUGGCAAUUGUAAGUGGGUGUCAAGAUGAGGAAUUUGUGAGUUGUAGCCUUGUUGACAUGUACUCCAAAUGUGGGCUGGCAGAUGAUGCACUUAAAGUGUUUUGGAGGAUAAAAUCUCCUGACAUCGUGACAUGGAGUGCCAUGAUUUGUUGCCUUGAGCAGCAAGGAAGGGAAGGAAAGGCAGCCGAGUUGUUUUGCAUGAUGAUGUCGUUAGGAUUGAGACCGAAUCAGUUUACCCUUACAAGCAUUGUUAGUGCUGCCAAAGAUCUAGGUGACAUAUCUUUUUCUCAGUGUCUACAUGCUUGUGUUUACAAGUAUGGUUUUGCACAUGAAACUGUAGUUUGUAAUGCAUUAAUCACAAUGUACAUGAAGAAUGGAUCUGUUGAUGAUGGCUUCAAAAUCUUCAAUGCAAUGAGUCAAAGGGAUUUAGUUUCAUGGAAUGGGCUUUUAUCAGGAUUCCACGACAGCAAAAGCUGUGAUGGAUUAAGAAUAUAUAGGGAGAUGCUAGUAGAUGGUUUCAAGCCGAACAUGUAUACAUUUAUCAGUACUUUACGUUCUUGUUCUAGCCUCCCAAAUAGUGAGGCUGGGAAGCAAGUGCAUGCACAAGUUAUCAAAGACAGCCUUGGUAGUGAUUGUUAUGUGGGAACAGCUCUGAUUGACAUGUACGUCAAGUCCAAAUGCAUGGAAGAUGCGGAAAAGAUUGUUAAUAGGUUGAACGAGAUAGACCUUUUCACUUGGACAACAAUUAUUGCCGGCUGUGCACAGACUGAUCAAGGGGAGAAAUCCAUUCACUACUUCAGUCAGAUGCGCAAGGAUGGUGUUAAACCCAAUGAGUUCACUCUUGCUGGCUGUUUGAGAGGUUGUUCUGGGAUUGCGAGCCUAAAAAAUGGGACACAGCUGCAUUCUUUUGUAAUUAAAGAUGGCCAUGUUGAUGAUCCAUUUGUUGCAAGUGCACUUGUAGAUAUGUAUGGGAAGUGUGGGUGCAUUGAUGAUGCUGAGAUGAUCUUUGAGGCGAUGGAAUCACAUGAUACAGUUUUGUGGAACACAAUCAUUAAUCAGUACUCACAACAUGGGGAGGGAGAGAAAGCUCUUCUGGCUUUUGAGAGUAUGUUAACUAAAGGUGUGUUGCCAGAUGGAGUUACUUUCAUUGGCAUACUUUCAGCAUGUAGCCAUUUGGGUUUGAUAGAAGUGGGGAGGGAACAUUUUAACUCCAUGAGUGAAGUUUAUGAAAUUUCUCUGAGCAUUGAGCACUAUGCCUGCAUGGUCGAUAUUCUUGGCAGGGCUGGCAAAUUUAAUGAGGUUGAAAGCUUGAUUAAUCAAAUGAAGUUGACUCCUAAUAAUUUGAUUUGGGAGACCCUUCUCGGAGCUUGUAAGGUUCACGGAAAUGUGGAACUUGGCCAAAGAGUUGCAGAGAAACUUUUUCAGAUUGAGCCGGAAGUAGAUUCUAAUUAUAUCAUGUUAUCCAACAUAUUUGCAGCCAAAGGGAUGUGGGAUGAAGUUGCACAUAUUAGGGCAUCAAUGUCGCAUCAGGAGAUCAAAAAGGAACCUGGGUGCAGUUGGGUUGAGGUUGAUAACCAAACCCAUGUCUUCUUGUCUCAAGAUACUUCUCACAUGAGGAUACUUGAAAUCCACAAAAAGUUGGAAGAACUGGAAGAAUGCCUUUUUUCAGUAGGCUAUAUUCCAAAUACAGAUUAUGUGCUUCACAAUGUCCCUGACAGAGAAAAACGAAAAAUUCUUUCCCAUCAUAGUGAAAGAUUGGCUCUUGCCUUUUCCCUUAUCAACAACAACUCAAAUAAGAUGGUUAGAAUAUUUAAGAAUCUCAGAAUAUGUGGAGACUGCCAUGAAUAUAUGAAGCUUGUUUCAAGCAUCAAAAAUAAGGAUAUUGUCAUACGUGAUGCUAAGCGGUUCCACCAUUUCCAAGAUGGCGCCUGUUCAUGCCAAGAUUAUUGGUGAACAUGAACCUUUAUUAUGUUGGACUCCGUGUCAGACUCCAACCCCUUAUCAUUCCACACCAGGUAAAAGUAAUGAUCUUCAACAAAAAGAACUUUCGACUACACAACGACUUCAGAGUGGCAGUGUGGCACACACCUUAGCUGUGGUCUGCAAGUUGCAACAUGGUGAUCACUUUUUCAUCAUAAUUCAAAGGCGGGUUACCCACUAAGAGUGAAGUUGCUUUGCCUGAAACGAAAACCAUCCCCUCCGAGAAUGGGAAUUCUGGGGAAACUCAGGACAAAGAUGUAAUGGUGGAAGGACUUGGUUCUGUUGGUGCAUAUGACCAAUGGGUUGCCCCUCCGGUUUCUGGUCCACGUCCAAUUCCCACUUAUGAGCAUGCAGCAGCUGUUGUGGAUGAUAAGAUGUAUAUAUUUGGCGGAAACCAUCAUGGACGUUACAUAAACGAUCUUCAGACGCUUGAUUUACGAAAUUGGAUAUGGUUAAGGAUUGAUGUUAAAGCAAACUCUUGAGGCUCCAGCGGCAGUUACUCCUUGUGCAGGGCAUUCUUUGAGACCAUGGGAAGGGAAUAAGCUUAUAUCAUUUGUAGGACAUUCAGAGGAUCCUUCCGAAGUUGUUGAAGGUUUGUGUUGAACUUACUAACCAAAACUCAUAGGCAUCUGAAAUUCUAUUACUUACUUUUGCUAGCUCUCUAUUAGAUAAAUCUAAACUUUAUUACUUAUUGUUGGUGGGCAUUUGCUGAAUGUAAAGUCAUAAGGCAGUCUACCAUAAAUCAUCCAGAGCCUUGUAUCAAUACUAAAAGUUGGUAAAUGUGUUU